UAGGGAAAUUUUGAGACUCCCCAUGAUUGAGAUGACGUCACAUGUUAAAGUUUUUUGUUAAAGGGUAUUCCUGUCAAUGUUGAUCAGACUGUUUCCUCCAAACUCUCGAUGCUGCAUGAUAAAAAUAUAUCACAUGUAUAACUAUAUACUAAUAUAAUCAAUAUGUAAUCCAAUAAACCUAUAUCAGUAGUUGCAGCUAAGCUUAUGGAAACGCAAGAAACCACAGUGUACACUGUAGAAAGAAAGCAAACGCAGAAGGCUUAAAAAAACCAUACUUACUCAGCAGAAAAUUAUUGCCAAAUAGAAGUGCUAGAAGACUAAUACUUUACAGUGACCCCUGUGUAACCUGAAUACAGUAGAAAAGUGCAGGAGGCUAUAACUCUGUGAACUUGUAUGCGUAAUGGAAAAAUACAGAAAGCAAUGACGUGUAUGCAUAGUGGAAAAGUACAGAGUAAGGGAAAGUUGGGGUAACUGUCCACUACGAUAAGAUUACCAUAGAACCGAAAACCAUUGAUAUAAGAUCAUCAUAGAACCGAAAAUCAUUAUGGUGCCAAGAAAGUCAGGUUGACCCACGAGCAGGAAACUGAAAAUCCUUACGCGGCCAAAAAAGAUCCUAACUGUGCCAAAAAGACCAGAUGGCUGGUAUUUUUAGAAAUAUGUUAAGGGGGGUUGUGGGGCACAAUUUGUGUAUAAAAUGUGUGUAAAACUGACAAUCGAGGUUCAAUUCGGCGGAAUUGAUCCGGCUUUGUGCACCUGUGCAAUAAAGUCUAAACUUUCUGAAGAGCUUGCUGCUGUUGUGUCUUUUCCCUCGUGAAGUUGUUUUCUACAGAUACAGAUUGGCUUGGCGUUGAAGUCUCUCGGUUUCCUAGACACGACAUUUGGGGGCUCGUCCGGGAUACGAAAAAGGAUUCAUCUUUUUGUAAAACUAACCCGGACACUAACACCGAAAAUUGAGGAGAAGAAAGCAGCGAGCUCUUCAGAAACGUGCGCAACGAACCAGGUGCCAGAGACUUGGGAGGAGAGAAACCAAAGAAAGGCCACCUGCAAGAGCUCUGGUAAAAGCGUGUUUGGGAAAAACACUGUCCUCUGAGGUAUAAAGUAAGAGAAAAA